UAAUACCUAAAAAAUUAAGUUGUUUCUUAUUGUGAAAUUCAAGUGAAAUUUUAAGUUAAACAAAACUAGUUUUAGUUACCAACUGAAGUAACUCUUUAAAGCUACAGUCGGCAACUUUGGAGGAUUGAGAUGAUUUUGAAUGUUUUCAAUUUUUAUGCCCCUCCCACACUACCACCGAGCAACCUCAUAUUGAGCUCGUCCUCAUCAGUGCGUGUUCAAGCAUACAGGGUUUCGCGCAGAAAAUUUUAUGUGGGUUCCAGGUUCUCAGUGAGGCUGUCAAUGUAUGGCUCCAUGACCUAUUAACAUUAGAUGUGAGACAAAAUAAAUAAUAUUUAAGAGAAUGUUUAUUCAUUCUUGAGCUUACUUGUGUCUGAAAAUGUGCCCAUACGGUGAGAUUGGAAAGAGGCGCCACACGUCUCCCCCUCUCUUCUUCAGCUUCAAUAUUAAGAUGGGUCACCUUCUCUUUAACCUGACCUAGAAAGGAGCCCUCAGGUUGCUGUUCACCUGCUGCUUUAAUUUCCCUUAACUCUUUCACCGCCAUUGACGAGAUUUUCCGUCUUUCCGCAAUACCGCUAUUAUCCACCAGGUGGCGCCCUUCCGCAACUUUUUAAACCCAGAAGUAUUGCCCUAUGGCAAGCGGCUGCAUGUCCGUGUCUGUUUUAAAGAUCGCUCUGAAUGGGAUCUCUAUGAAAAGUCCAUCACAAAAAUGGAAUUAUCUCUGUUUUUUGCUCAAAAUGUGGUGUUUUUGCAGAAACCUACCCAUAUUCAAAAGCUGAUUACAGAAGAACCACUGAAGGUAGGAUGAAACGUUUUUUUUUUUUUUUGAAAGCAGAGGGUCUGUUCUUUCAUUUGGUAUAUUGUAUGUUUAUAUAUUUAAAGAAGAACAUUUUCUGGAAGGCAUUAAACUUUGGUGAAAAUCAUGAAAAACGCUGGCGCUGCACAGCAAAACCACCAGUGUUGAUUUUACAGAGUUCGCUACUCUAGAGUGGUCAGGUGUUAGUUGUAGUGUUCGUUUAUAAUUUAUCAUCACUCACAGUGUCAGAAACUUCCACAAGGGGGUGUUGCUUUCCAGUGUUCCAAUAAUAACGUUUGCGGGGAGUUAAGAUUCACGCCACGCCCCUUCUUUCUGAAGCGGGAAAGUCAGUUACUCAGCAUCGACCGACCUGGACUCACGUUACUGAGGUUUGGAACAUGCUGCUGAAGUUGGUUAUCAGGGCUCCAGGAAAUGUAUCAAACUGCAGGAUUGAUUUAUUUUUGCUCAUUAGUGAAGGUGGUAAGCCCAACUGACUGUGGACUAACGUAUGCAUUGUUGAUGACACUGAAAUCGAGGAAGACAUUUUGCAAGAUGUGCUGCUUAUAGCUAGAGAACAAAAUGAAGAUGCAACAAGCAGCUUCUACCACUGUCAUUUACCAUCUGAACUUGACCAAAGUCGUUCCAAGAAAUCUAAGACAACAGAUGACUCCAUGACCGAGGAAGACUCCUACAAGGAACCAGUGAGAGCAUCAUAGACUGUGAUAGUGACAUGGCAACACUGCUUUUACUGCUCCAUCUCCUUCCACCAUCACCUCAAGGGAAUAAGUGCAUCAGAUUUGCAGUGAGCAGGCUUGUGGUGUAUCAUAAGUCUUGUACCAGCCUUGAAGAACAUCUUCAGCAACGAGUAGGAUGACAACCGUACCUUACUGCGGUUAGCAGGAUGUGCGGCCAGAUUUUAGAACUUUGACGUGGCUUUUGAUAAGAAUCUCACCCCGUCAGUCGGAAGGCUCCCUUUUAUUAGCAUUUGACUUUGUUUUUAAUGUAAUGUAUGAUGAUGGACUCCUUUACUUUAACUAAUUUAAUCAAACAACAGUUUACAUGUUGGGAAAACUAGAGAUUGAGAGCUGAGAGCAAACUUUUUUUUAACUAGCUGUAACUAGUAUCUCAUUUACGGUUUCAGCAUGCAUUUUAUCCUUGCCCAAAUUUCUAAUUAAUAUGUGCUGAAGAAAAUUGUGAUUACUUUUGUGAUGUAUUGUUUUACAGAAUGUUUAGUGAAAGAUUUGCUGUGAUUUGCCCUAGAUGUGUGUCAGACAUGGAUUUUAAAACACUUUUCCAGUUUUGUUUAAACUCCUUGGCAAAAUUGAAAGGACUGUAUACAUAACCACUCUCUGAAAAUUUUGAAAAAGUUCACAAGUGAAACUUUAUUUUUUUUUAUAAAUAUUUAAUAAUGUCAAAUA